rnacentral:lncRNA from 1 species
UGCUGAGAUUACAGGCAUGAGCCACUGUGCCCGGCCCCUCUUCAAUUUUUUUCAUCUAUGUUUUAUAGAUUUCUUAAUUGUAGCCAGGGCUGACGUGUCAUUGAGAUUUUUAUUCAAUUUUUUAAACACUUUAAGUCCCACAGACAACAUCAUGUCAGGUCUUUAUGAUUUUGGAGUUUAGAUUUGGUUUCCUCCCUCUAUGAACCCUCCUUGUUAUAAAUUGAUUUUGUCACCCCCUUUCAAAUUCAUAUAUUGAAGUCCUAAUUCCUGGUACCUAAUGCGACCUUAUUUGAAAAUAAGGUCAUUGUAGAUAGAAUUAGUUAAGAUGAGGUAGGAUGGGCCCCUAAAUCAAUAUAACUGGUGUUCUUUAAAAAGUGGGAACACACACAUUCAGGGAGAACACUAUGUGAACCUAAAGGCAUAGAUUGGUAUGCAUCUACAAACCAAGAAACUCCAAAGCUUGCUGGCAGAAGCUAUAAGAAAGGGGUGGAGCAGGUUUUUCCCUCACAGCUCAUGGAAGAAACCAACAGUGCCAACAACUUGAUCCUGGACUUCCAGCCUCCAGAACUGUGAGGUAAUAAAUUUCUGUUGCUUAAACCACUCAGCAUGUGGUAUUUCAUGAUGUCAACCCUAAGAAACUAACACUAAUACACUUUCUUCACAGUUGUGCCAGAAAAUUGUCUCAUUAGCUGAUUAGUGACUCCCUUAUUAUUUCUGCUUUUGUACAUUGAGUGGGAAUAUUUGCAUAUCAUUGAUGCCAGAAUCUAUCCUUCAAAAUGAUGGCCAUUUUAAAAAUGGAUAAUAUCUUUAAGCAUUGCCUUGCCCUUCCAAAAGGUGAAAAAAAAGUGAGGCUUGGUAAGGAGGACAAGAUCUGCUAAAACUUGCCAUUAAAAAAUAUUAUAGCAGAUCUCUGGAUACGUUCCAGUAUUAAAACACAUUUGACAGAAAUAUGAGAAAUGAGAGACCAUACUACCAAUGUCAUUCUAUCAAUGUCUUUAAGAUGAGAGCAAAGAAGCAAGAGGAUCAAGGAGGAAAAUAAUAAAGAAUCCUUGCUAUCAAGCAGAAAGGGGAUUGGCCUUGAUCAGUGGGAAAGUUAAAAAGGGCCACAAAAUUAAACUGCUCCUUAAAAAAUAGAAAAGGAGAUAAUGAAGUCAAGGGAAAAGCAACAUUAGUAUCUGGAUUUAAUUCAUGACCUUCUUAGUCCUAGGAGAAUUUGGGCCAGGAGAAUUUCCUAAUCAGCAGCUGCACUCCCCACUUCUAGUUCUCUGGGCCACAUUUGACAAAUGUAGAUCUGAAACUUUAAUAUGGAUGAGAAUCACCAGAGGUCUUCUAAAACAGAUUGCUGUCUCUCUUCCCACUGCACCCCAUAGUUGCCAUUUCAUAGGUCUGGAGUGGGGUCCCAAUAACUUGCAUUUUUAAUGAGUUCCCAGGUAAUGCUGAUGCUGCUGAUCUGGGGGCAAUACUUUAAGAACCACUGGACUGUAACAAUGUCAAACCUGCCUGAUGAGAAGAAUCACCUGGAAGGUUUAAAAAAAUGCAAAAUCCUCGGCCCCAUGCCAGACUUUCUGACUCAACCUCCAGGGAAGAGCCUAAAAUUUUCUAUUUCAACAAUCCUGCCUGAUUAAUAUGAUUAGCAAGAAUUUGUUUGUACCAGCUCUAUGCCAUACACCGUGAUAGACACACCAGACGUGGAAGUGAGAAAUAUGGUUCCCAUCUUGGAUAGCAAAGAAGAUGGACAAAUAAACCAACAAAUUAAACACAGAAAAACGUUUUCUAAAGGAAGGAGGUUUCUUGAAGGAAGUGGUACUUCUGUUGAAAUAUGAAAGAUGAGUGAGGGUUAGUCACAUACAGAAAGGGAGAAGGGAGUAUCCAAUGUAGAUAGAACAGCAUAUGAAAAGCACAGAGAUGUGAGAGAGCAGGUAGGCAUUGCUGUAAAUCCAGGUGGAUGUAAAAAAAAUCAGAGCCUUGCAGGAACUAGGUUGUAGAAAGCUCUGUGGACUAAGUUUAGUUGGUUUAACUUUAUCCUAAAAGUCACAGGAAAAUAUUAAAGAUGUUUAAAAAAGAAAAAAAAGCAGAUUUUCAUUUUAUUAACAAAACAUAACUCUGGCAGCAGGUGUGGAAAAUGGAUGGAGGGGCCAGGACCAGAAGAAAGACACCUGUUACUGAAGCAAUGCAGAUGGGAAAUGAUGGAGACCUAGAUGUAGACCAUGCCAGCAAAGACGGAGGGGCAGAAUUGAGUAAUACUUGUAGAACUAAUGUAACUUACAGGAUGAUUAGAUACAUAGAAAGGAGACUAACUCAAUCCUUUAUUUUUCUUCCUUUUUCAAAAGUUUUUUUAAGACUAUAUUACUAUCUUUUCCCCAUUCCCUCCAUACUUAAUAUGACAGUUAGCUAAUUUUACUUGAAUACCUAUGUCUUAUUCUUUACCAACACCAUCAAGCAGCAGCAUCUCCCUACCACCACCACAACAAGCAGCAAGUGUUUAUGGAGCACCUCUUAAUAAAUUAUCCUUUGUCUUGUUUUGUGACAAAUUUACAUUCCUCUCUGCUUUACUUUUGCUUUAUCCUGUAUUUUUCAUUGUUCUGUGGUUUAGCGUGUAUUUUCUUCUGCUCUUCCAGGACCAUAGGAUUUCAGAGCUUGUUACUUAAGUUCUCAGGUUUUUGAUAUGUACUUGGAAUUUUAUUUUUUACUACUUUCUCAAAGUAAUGCUCCACAAAUAUUUCUUAUGUAAUUCCAAUGCAUCUAAAGAGAUUUAGCAUUUGAGUUUUAUGUUAAACCAAUAAACUGAUUAAAGCCAUAAUUAGCAAUCACCAACUUUUAUCUGGAAAUAAACUGAAAACUAUUAUUCACU